rnacentral:lncRNA from 1 species
CCAACAUCUUCUGUUAAUCUUAAAAACUAAGGAACACCAGUGGAAGAUUCCUCUGACAGUCUCCUAUCAGUGUGCUACCACUGGGAGGAACCAACUGUAAAGAAGGAGGAGAGUGCAUCAUCUAGAAGAGUCCCAGUGGAGAAGGAACUAAGGAGCCAAGAGAGAAAGUUCCUGCAAGGAAGUCCCGAGGACACCCAGACUCAGGACCACGUUGUGGAUAUGCUGGCAUAGCCACACAAGGUGAAUGAUCUCAGCAAGUACUAUGGAAGAGAGACCUUCUUGUUCAGAGACUGCUACAUCAAUUUACACGAAUUGAAAA